AGAGAGGAUGGGCCUGGUGGCCCGGCUGGUCUUCAAAACCAGUAGCGGGCGGAUAACACCGUCUGUGGCAGGUUCGAUUCCUGCUCUCUCUGCCA
rnacentral:tRNA from 1 species